rnacentral:rRNA from 1 species
CAGUCGCCACGGUAAUACGAAGGGUGCAAGCGUUACUCGGAAUUACUGGGCGUAAAGCGUGCGUAGGUGGUGGUUUAAGUCCGUUGUGAAAGCCCUGGGCUCAACCUGGGAAUUGCAGUGGAUACUGGGUCACUAGAGUGUGGUAGAGGAUAGUGGAAUUUCCGGUGUAGCAGUGAAGUGCGUAGAGAUCGGAAGGAACAUCUGUGGCGAAGGCGACUAUCUGGGCCAACACUGACACUGAGGCACGAAAGCGUGGGGAGCAAACAGGAUUAGAUACCCGGGUAGUCCCUGUCUCUUAUAA